CUGCGCCGGCAAUGAAGAAGAAGAAGAGGGUGGUCACAAGGCCUUACCAGGGAACAAGAGGGAGACCUGGUAGAAUGGUAUCAGGCCCACCGAGAACUCUACGAUAAGGAGCAUCGUAAUUUCAGGAGCCCGGAUCUCCGCAACGCAAUGUUUGAAGGCAAGGCGAAGGAGUUCCCUGGCUGCUCUUAUGACCAACUGUGUCAAUGGCUCAAGAGUCAGAGGGUACGGUUCGGGAGGCUGUCUCACAGUCUUGGCACGUCUGCCUCCGUCAGUAAGCCACUGACUGACAGAGAGCAGUGGAUAGUGGAGAAAUAGGGAUUCAUGUGGAUCCGAGUGCAGAGGGAGCGUCGGGAAGUUUACCAUGGGGAAAUCAUCGUGCGCUACCUCGAGUGAGGGCGAGACGGAUCCCCCAGUGGGAUCCUCUGGGUCUGGCGCUGCGGACAAACAGCUGCACGCCAUGCGGAAGCAGGCCUGCACAACUGCGGCAGAAGGUGACGUGCCUGAUCAACAGCUUCAGCGGGUUUGUUCGCGGAUGUAAGUGCUUUUGGGUGAACCAUCAGCAAAUUUCUCAUUUACUCCGCCCUACGCCCACGUUUCUCCAUCGCCUCCCGAAAAAUACUUACCAGGAUUGCACUCUCUUUGUUGCAGAUCAUGCAACAGGCUAAGACCACUGCCGAGACAAUAAACGUCUUGUCACAGCCAUGGACGCCACACGAAAGAAUCGUCUACGCCUACUCAACGCUACUGAGGGAGGAGAUGUUGCAGAUCCCCAAGUUGCAAUGGCACAGCUACUCCUUGGAGGGCUUAGUCUUGGCAAGGGCGCACAGAUUUAUUCAGCCAGUAAAAUCUUUUAAUCAAAGUUUAUUGAAUUUAUAAACAUUUGACUUGAAUGCUUUUUAUGAAUUACUCACUACAAAUUCCUUGGUGUUGCAGAGUCCGAUGAGGCACAUGCCAUUCAUGCCGCACCAACAAAUGGGGAUAUUGGCACCACAACAUGCUCCCCAGGUACACUGUGAAACCUUUCUGAGUCUUGAGCCUGACUCAAGAUUGUGUCUCACACACAGCUUGUGAAAGGUUGUGAUUUGUUUUAUAUCAUUUGUUUGGCUCCCAUACAUAUUGAUAUGCUUAUGUGUUUUGCCCUCAGGCAAUGAUGGGAUCCCGGCCUAAGGCAUACCCAUGGAUGGCAGGCCCGCCCAACAUCAGGGCAGCCAGCUCAACGCCACAUCAUGCGGCAUCCGGCAUGGAUAGGCUCGGAGCAACAGAUUUCCUGGAGCGAUUGGACGGUCCCGACACAAUCGCCAACUUCAGCCUGAAUCUCUCCGACUAUUUGAUGGAUUGCCCAGUGCAAAUGGGCCGUAAAGAAUGAUGCUCUCUCCAACAUUCACUAUUCUGUUUACUUGUGUUGCACAUUAAAGUUUUAUUCCCUGUUGUUUU